rnacentral:rRNA from 1 species
AGAUUGAACGCUGGCGGCAUGCCUAACACAUGCAAGUCGAACGGGCGUAGCAAUACUCUAGUGGCGGACGGGUGAGGAAUACGUAGGAAUUUGCCCUUAAGUGGGGGAUAACCCGGGGAAACCCGGAUUAAUACCGCAUGACCUCGAAAGAGCAAAGUGGGGGAUCGCAAGACCUCACGCUUUUGGAGAAGCCUACGUCGGAUUAGCUAGUUGGUGAGGUAAUGGCUCACCAAAGGCGACGAUCCCGUAAACUGGUCUGAGAGGAUGAUCAGUCACACCGGAACUGAGACACGGUCCGGAUCCACGGGAGCAGCAGUGGAGAUGA